UCCCAAAGUAAGAUCAAUAUGAUGCUGAAUAUCUCUUUCCAGUGGUAAUCCUAUAGGCAAAUCUUCAGAAAAAAAUAUCAACAAAUUCUUGAAGGAUAGAACAUACAAUAGAUGGGAUUUCUUGCUCAGCUAACUCACCCUUCUCCACCACUACCAAGAAAUAGCUAGUCUCUAUUGCUUCUUUCAAGUAAGAGUGCUUCAUCAGAAGGUUG
rnacentral:lncRNA from 1 species